CCUACGGGCGGCAGCAGUGAGGAAUAUUGCUCAAUGGACGAAAGCCUGAACCAGCCAAGUAGCGUGAAGGAUGACUGCCCUCUGGGUUGUAAACUUCUUUUAUAAAGGAAUAAAACGACGCACGUGUGCCUUUUUGCAUGUACUUUAUGAUUAAGAAUAGGCUAAGUACGUGCCAGCAGCCGCGGUAAUACGGAGGAUACAAGCGUUAUCCGGAUUUAUUUGGUUUAAAGGGAGCGUAGAUGGGUUGUUAAGUCAGUUGUGAAAGUUUGCGGCUCAACCGUAAAAUUGCAUUUGAUACUGGCAGACUUGAGUGCAGUUGAGGUAAGCGGAAUUCGUGGUGUAGCGGUGAAAUGCGUAGAUAUCACGAAGAACCCCGAUGGCGAAGGCAGCUUACUAAACUGUGACUGACAUUGAGGCUCGAAAGUGUGGGUAGCAAACAGGAUUAGAUACCCCAGUAGUC
rnacentral:rRNA from 1 species